CAAUCUCAAAAUGUCAUUUUUUUUAUUUAGCAGUUUAAAAUCAGGUUGGUUUGGAUCCUAUAAACCUGGUCGUGAUUUAUACUCUUCAAUCAAAGGUAAUAAUUUUUCAUCAGUUCACUACAUUGUGAUACAAAAAAAAAAGUACAAAUACGACAAGCACAAAUAAACAACCAACAACUACAGCCACCAAAAUAGUUCCGUUAUAAAUACAGAAGUAAAACAGCCACACAAUGACAAGUGGUCACACUGAAGCGAAUGCUGAACUAGACUGGAAACAAAUUUCCUUUGAUCAUUUGUUGCAAAACUGACAAAAGAUGAAGCACACAAGAACGCGAAUAUGUGACUUCGCAAGUGUUUGCCUAGAUGUAACCCAGGCUUACAUUCACUGACAUGACCAUUUAUUACAAUCUUUGUACCAAAAAUAUUUUAUACAAAGAUAGAGGAAUAAGUUUAUAAAAAGUACGUAGUACUGCUUUUUGUUGCUUAAAUUCGUAUCCACUUGUAAGGAUUUCUGCUGAUUCAAAAUUCAUGCAAUAAUGUCUGUUACAUAUUUUAUGUAGUGUGCUCACAAAAUCACUUUCUUAAUUCCAUUUAGUUCUGAAUAAUAUCAAACUGAGUGUAAAAAGCCAUUAGCGGAUUCAAAUUGCACUAAUUUUGAAUGAGAAGACAUUGGAAGUAGGCACGAGCGUAUAAUAUUAUUUUAUGGCUUUAUAUUUCAUCAAUACGUAUACCAUUUGAGAAUAUAAAACCCAGAUGCAUAAAUCAUGGAUAUUGGGGAAUAAAUUGGUAAUGGCCUUUAGUAAGGAACUAUCCCAGUAUUUUUGUUCAGUAAUUUUGGGACACUAUAGAUGAUCAAAGUUAAGAGGCCUAUACAGACAGUCUUCAGGACGUGAUUGUAGGGCCUUUUGCUAAGAAUAAUUUGCAGCUUCCCAUUACAGAUAACACUGUCAUUUUUUUUGCGUGCAUAAGGAAAGGAUGAAUGGGUCGAUCUAUGAUUUUUAUAAUGCUUUUAAAAAUUCGUAACAUAGGUAAAAAUAUUUCCGAAUGUGUGGUUUUACGCAGCUGUUUUAUGUAUCGUGUGUAAUGCAUACAAAAAAAGUAGAAACACACAACAAUAGAGUAUUAAUCGUUGAUUAAAAUGGUGUAAAAAAAUACAUAGGUCACCGCUGAAAAACUCCCAGAAUUCUUCUACGACGAAAAGCAUUUCCGCACAUUUAUUCUGCCGGGAAGUGUCUCCCUCGCGCGGCGUAUUCUUCAGCCGGCGACUGGAGCCGAGGAGUGGGGAUAGCGGCUGCUGUGAAGGCAGCGGAGGGGAAGUUCGUCUGACGGCUGCUCGGUCGCCUUAUCAGCGCGUCGGGGUAUCGGAUAUCACGAUAAGCACAUGUAUUCGCAGGAAUAGUGUCUACCACUGAGGCCGCCUGGUCGGGAAGGGUCAUUUCCAUGCCAAAUCAACCAGAAAAUAAUAAUUUUUGGCAUCACCAUCUCAGAAUUAAAAAAAACUCGGCAAAUUAGCAGUAGGUGUGCAGAAAAGUGCAUUAGCAAAGUUAAAGCCCCCUGUGAAUAAUACUUUUUAUACAGCAGGGUUGCCAACUUGUGGAAAAAGUGGAAUUUUUGCUGCGCGAGGUCCAAUAAAAAUAUUUGUAACUUCCUUUGUAGUUGAGUGAGAACCUUGAAGUAGGGCUCAAUAGAAAGCUAGAAAAGUGUCCUUUGAGAUAAAAAUAAGUUUUACGAAUUUUAGAAGAAAUUUGUUUCAAGGUCAUGGUCAUGUAACAUGUGACCUUGAAAAUUUUGAAAAGUAUAUUUUUGAAAAAUGUGAAAAAAUUAUAUGUUAUGAAGUGCGUUAUUGGUCUAAGUGACAUAAGUUUCAUUUUGGGAUGGAUCUGGGAUCAAACACUAGAACAUUGUGAAUUAGGCCAUGUUCACUAAAACUACUCUAGUAAGGCAUUAACACAAUUCCACUUUUUCCACAAAUUGGCAACCCUGCUGUAUAAAAAGUAUUAUUCACAGGGGGCUGUAACUUUGAGAAUUCACUUUCCUGAACCUGUACUGUUAAAGCCCUAAGUUUCAUUGAAUUCGGUGAUGGUGAUGUCAGCAGGUGUGUGAAAUGGCAUUGAAUGACCCGGAAGUAAUAAAUUCUAGGAUUCAGGCAGUUAUUCCCAGAGAAAACCUCAACCAUUCUACGCCCACCAUAUCGCGCGGCGAGAAGACUCAGUAAGGCAUACUCGGAGCCAAGUGGAGGUUACCUGUAGGCGGAAAAAGUUGAGCGACUGUUAUUUUUACCCCUUGUUAGAUCGAUAUUUGGCUUUGUAACAGCAUCGAGAAGUACUAUUAUAUGCACGAUUUCUUUUUCAAGGAUGGAGUUAAAAAGAAACUGGAGAAAAUAAAGAAGAAUCAUCUUUAUAUUUAUGCAACAAGAAAGAAAAAUGAAGCUACUCAUCUCAAAGCAUACUGGAGUCAAAGGUCAGUUUGUUUUGUAAUAUGUCAUACAAAAUACAGAUUGCGUUCAUUAGCCUGCGUAGUCGAAACUUAGUCUACCUUGUGAUCUCUCACCUCCAACACCUUCCCCACCAUAAUAUUGAGUUAUCUUAGAUGAACAGUCGCAUAUUGAAAAGUUUAUUUAAAAUAUAUAGGUUAAAUAUGUAUGUUUAUAAUAUGUAAAGCAUCCAUAAGUUAUUAGUUUGGACAGACUGAGCUCCCUGUUGGGAAGGGGGAGGGGCGGAAACAAACUCUGGCUCCUCACAGUCGAAGCAUAUAAUAUGUGUUUGUAUUAACGUUGUAGUAUUAACCUUUAAAAUGUGUAAUGUGUACAUUUUUUAUUUGGCACUGAAUUAUCAAUUUAUUCACAGGAAUAAAACUAUACCUAAACAAAACCAUGUCAAUGAAGAAUUGGAAAACCAGAGCCUAUCAAGAAUUCACUGCAGCCAUCAAGAACUGAUUGAAAACGAAAUAACUUCCGGAGUGCAUGAAGUAGUGUACUAUGAAGAAAGCUAUCCGGCAAAGAAAAAAUUUAAACUUGAUAGCGGCAGUUAUCAAGUUCCGGAAGGUAGAGACUCACGAUGACACCUUGGCAGCCAGGGAGUAAAAACGGCACAAGAAAUUUCUUCAAGAGAAAAUGACACAUCAGAUGAAGAGAAUAACUACUCUGUAACCAAUGUCCUGCACAAUGAAGAUGGGCAGUGUAUCUCUACAGCCAUGUCUUACACAGAAAUGCAACCGCCUCUGAAACUAUUUGAAAUGGAAGCAGGAUGUUCUUUCUGGUCAACCACCGAAGGAGCCAUUGACAUUCCAUAUGAGCUGGUGGACAGGAAUGAGCCAACUGUAGACAGUAGAUGUAUCAACAAUUCAGAGACAAGCAAUCAGGUUAGCUGAAUAACAAUUAUAUUGCUUUUAAUUAUAUUGACCUGUUAAAAAAUUACAGUUAAGUUAUAAUUUAACUUUACGAAUAUACUUCAAUUGAAAAAUUACACAACUACUCAAACUACAUAAAUGUUUUUAUCAGAAAUUUCACUAAAAACAGGGCAAAAAAAUGAAUACAGUAAAAAAUCUUAUCCCCAUUUAGUGACAAUAGACAGCAUAUUUUACUGACCUUACUUAAAAGUGAUACACCAUCCCCAGUUAAAAUAUAAACAGCAUUCAUAAGAACACUGAUUUAAGCACUGAAAAUGUUUAUAUUGUAGCAAGACUUUUCAAAGUAUGCAUCAUACAUUGGACAAAAAACUAUUAAAGAUACUACAGAUACUAUAAGUACUUUUACUGCUAUCAAUAUUCCUGUUUUAUUCGAAACUAGGGAAAAAAUAAUAUAUACAUAUUUUAUGCACAUAGAAAUAUAACAUGAUUUUAGGUACAUUAAUAGAUAUAAGUUAUUCAAAAAUAAUAUAUUUAUGAAUGAUUUCAGCCGAACAGUUUAUUCAUUACUCCAAGAAAAUAUCAACAUUUGGAUGAAUAUAUUGAACAUGUAAAGGAAGACAACGGUUUGAUACUAGAAAAGCAGCAAAAAUCCACUAUGGUCCUCAAUGUCAACAGCCUGACAUGGAUCCAGAAACAUUUAAGGAACAGAUUCAAGCUUUCCUCAGUAGGUUACAACUAACACAAGAGGACCGUCAACAUUUAGAGAGAGACACAAUUCUCCAGGCAGGAAGCGGAAAAUGGCUUGAAACACAUAGAAAAAUUCUAACAGCUUAGAAUUUCGGGAAAGUCUGUCGUAGACGUGCAUUAACAAGCUGCGUUAACUUAGUUCGCAGAAUUGUUUAUACCUCCGAUAUUUUGAACGUGCCUGCAAUUUAUCAUGGUAAAAGGUUUGAGGUGAUGGCUAUAGAACUAGAAAAACAAGAAGGAAUAUAAGGUUGGAAAAAGUGGACUCUUCAUUGACAAGGAAUUGCCUUUCUUGGGUGCCACUCCGGAAGGUGUUAUUGGAGAAAAGGGUCUUGCAGAAGUUAAGUGUCCAUCAUCUGCAAUUGAAAAAGAUGUUACUGCAGCAGUUAAACAAGGGAACAUCCGAUAUAUGAGUUCGAAGGAGAUGAACUGAAACUGAAAAAACACAUUCAUAUUUUUAUCAAGUUCAGGGACAGCUGCACAUUUCAGAGAGGGAAUAUUGCAUUUUUAGUGUUUGGACAUCAGUGGAAAAAGAGAUGGCAAUAUUUCGAAUUGAAAGGGAUGACAAUUUUUGUAAACAAGAGAUGGAACCACAUCUUAAAAAAUUCUAUUAUAACUGCAUUUUGCCAGAACUGGUGGACCCUAGGCAUACGAGGAGCAUGGAAAUUCGAGACCCUCCAUACAUUAUUGACGCUAUUGAAAAAAGAGCAAGAAAAAAAUUUGCUGCUGUCAAGACUUGUUCAGCUGCUCAUUAAUUACCUCUGUAGCGUAUCUUCUUAAAAAAUGUGGAAAUAUAAUAUGUAUUUUUUCUUAAAGUAUUUAUUGCGAUAUGACAUUAUUAUAUAAGAAAAUUUAAACUCAGUGCGCUGUUAAAUUAUGCUUGUAAAAGCAGACCAUCUAAAUUUACUCAACUGUAUCCAUAAACUCAUAUGUUUAUUGUCUUUGUGGUGUGCAAAUGUGUUCAAAUUCAAUUAUAUUUGAUUAAAUAAGAUGUAUUUGUACAACUUCAUACAUUAACUUUUUUUUUUCUUCAGAAAAGCCAAAAAUAAUUUGUACAGAUAAAUCGAUGAUUGUUAUUUUCUGAACAGUUAUUGGGUGGAGAUGCAUACAAAUAUUUUAAACAGCAAAUUGUAAACAAUCUAAACAUGAAAAAAAUACAAGGUAGAAAAAAUAACAUGAUUCUGUGCCGUAUUGAAAAUGCAUUUUGGCACAAUUAUCAUUACCACACUUCUUUUUAAAAUCAAUAAUAAUUGAUAUUGACAAUGUUGCAAAUAUUCUAUUUCUAAAGGAAUAAAGAGUUAAAAAUACAUGAUAUGACAUGCUAAGUUAUCGCGUCAUUAUUUCAAAAAAAAACUAUUCACAAACAACUGGUUUGUUUACGUUUGGAAUAAAAACUGUGAACACUAGUCACACACCGUAAAAGCCACACAUCUUCCUGUAUACUCACUUCAUGUUAUAGAAUGGGGAAAGUCCGGGUGAACAAAAUUACAAUUUUUGCCUCAGAACGUCACCAUGUUUCGGAUGACUUAAGACGACUUGUUCCGUAAUUUUUUAAACUGCAAAUACAAUUUGCAGCAACAAAUAGUACCUGUGACUAUGUUAUAUGACUUCGUUGAGCAAAGAGAUGCAUUUCAACCUGUUGUUGAAACAAACAUAUUUUUAUGUAGGAAUGUUUGUUAACUGAUUGUUUCAUCA